AGGCAUCGGUAGCCACGCAGUUUACAGAGCACUGAUGAUCUAGUAUCGCAAAAAAAAUAUAUAAUAAAUAUAAAAAAUAAUAAUAAAAAUAAUAAUAAAAUACACAACAAAGUUUUUUGUGACACUUUCGAGUCGCGAAUAGACAGUUUUGUGAUGUGAGAUUCCGCCCGUCCCAAACUUUUAAUUUUAAAAUUGCUCUUUUAUGAUCACUUUUAUUUCUUCGGUAGUCUAAAUUCAGAGUAAACAGCAGAUCUUGAUAUUGUAAUUGUCAAGUUUUGUUUUUCUGUCUCAGAACUAUUGUGAAACAUUUACUUCAUCAUUUGUGAAUGCAUUUUCAGAUAAAAGUGUUGACAAAUUUUUAUUAGCAUGACUAAUUUGCACUGCAAAUUACGGACUGUCUCAUCCUGACGGUGCACUUGUUAGCGCGGUGCCUCCAUCAGGCGCGGGGCCUUAGGCAGUUGCCAAUUCUCACCACCCUACAUCCCAUCAGCGCCUGCUCUCAUUAGUGACAUCACCUACAAAAGCCAAAAACAAAAAACAACAAAAAACAAACAAACAAGAAACAAAACAAAACCUUUUUGUACUGUUACAUUUGGUAGUUCUUAAUAUAUACAGUGUAUAUAUGAUCCGGGGAGACUAAGCAAAUAAGACAUUUCCAAUCACUUUUCUGGAAUCAUAUUAGUGCGAUGUAUCCAUAAUUUUUCAUGCUGACCUGUGAUUUGAUGAGGAUAAUAAUAAUAGAAAGUACAAGCGUUAACUUUCUGUGACAACACUUAUUCAAUACCUCAUUGCCACAACAAAAUCGAGUUUGCACCCUUGCUACUCACAUUCGAAAUUAUGUUGUCGCCGCUUGUUCUGCGUUCAAUUUCUUCCUCUCAAUUUAAUCUGGAGCCAAUGAUAAUGUCUUAAAACCUAGGAGGUAAACAUUUAAAAUUAACAUGCAACCUACAUCUGCUAAAUACAGCCGACGACCGUGCUGCAUUAGAAACAAAUAUUCCUACCAAAUUUGAUGAGGAUUAGGCAUAGAGCGUACAUUGGAUCACAUAUCAACGGUCUUACCCCAUCCACGCUGCUUUAUUUAUAAGAUCUUGACUUCUGUUUAUAUUUCUAUAAGCUUUUCACCAUGACUUAGCCUACUGUUUCUGGUACUGGUCCUCGGCACCUCUCUGAACUCUAUCCCAUCUAAACGCAUGCAUGACUUCUUCGUGCAUCUUCGAACCCAAGCUUCUUCGUGUACCACUAGAACAAAGACGUAUGGACAGAGGUCCUUCUCCUACCAAGCCUCCCAUCAGCUUGGAACAGAUUACUCAUCAGCCUUCAUCAUUCUGAUUCUCUUACCCCCUUUAAAUACAAACUUAAGAUGCAUGUGAGCGUGUCUGGUACAUGCGAAUAAUGGUGCAUGGUUGUUAGCGAUCCAAUUGAUCCGAUUGGUCUGUGUAUUAUUUCUAUAAAGCACUCUGAGCAAAUCACUGGAAAAGUGGUAUAUAAAUGUUCAUUAUUAUUCUUUAGAAUGUUUAUACAUCGGUUUGCCUGGAUUGACAGGUAAAGGUGAAUUAACAGCACUGAUUCAAACAAAUUACUCCUCCCAAUUUUAGAAAUUUAAACCACCACCAAAAGGUCCACAAAGCUUCAUAUCUGAUACAUGAAAAAAAACCCAAAUUGUUUUGAUCAUCCUUUUUUAUUUUUUUUUAAAAAUUUGAUUCGUAAAGAUACACUAAAGAAUUAAACUUGUUUUUACAAUGACAGCAUUUAAAAAAAAAAUUGAAUCAAAUGAUAUGCUUUCAAUAUUUUCAGAUCAGGCUUAGUAAGAAAAAAACAACCAAA
rnacentral:lncRNA from 1 species